AACAAAAAAAUUCAACUUUCACAAUCUUUAAAUCUAGAAAGAAAAAAAAAAAAAAAAAAAGUAAAAUUAUGAUUUAGACAUCACUUUUAAACUCACUAUCAUCACUAAUUGAUUUUUUGGGGUGCCACUAAUGUAAGUAAACAUGUCACUAACAGUCGCCCUCAUUAAAAAAAAAAAGCAGAAAAGUUUUUCUUAAAGCGAAGUUAUCCAGCACAUAGAUUUGCUUGACAGUGUGUUAAUUGUAGAAGGAGAAAAAUGAUAUAUUCGGGGAUAAAUUUGGUGAUAAUAGUGAUUAGAUUCGCUGUGAGUGCGAUGUUCAUUGUAUUCGUCUACACCAGGCUCAUUUGUGCUCAAAUUCAAUUGAGUGCGUUCAGACAUUCCUUUCCUAUGGCCGGCCUCUAGAUCUGAUAUGAGCACAAGGGAGGAACAGGUCGCCGGUGAUGAUGUGUGACUGGUUCGGCGGUAGGAUUGAACCGGGAUUUGGCAGAGAGGACAGGUUACCGGCGACUAUGGCAGAUUCUGGCGAGUUUGGCGGCGAGAUGAUAACCAAAACGGCAGUCUUCAAGGAGCCGCGGUGAAAACGCACCGAGGCCGGUGACCAGGGAUUGGCCCGGGGGUGAUGGCAACAGCGUCAAUGGAAGAGGAGCAGAGAGAUAAAGGACCGGUGACAGUAAGAACGAUAACAGAUUUUAUUAUUUAUUUUAUAUAUAUAUUUUUUGUUACAGCAUAUUAUCAGAAGCAACAGAACCCGAAUCUCAACAACAGAGAGCAAAUCUAUAGCCUGUGGGGAGAACAGAGAUAGGAGAAAAUACAGUGCCCAUAAAUCAUUUUUUUUUUUGUUAUAGGAUUCAAAAAUCAAGAGGGUGCUAACACUGAGACGAAGCUCCAAAAAAAAAAACACAAUUGUUUUGUUCUAAAGGAUAAUAUUUAAUUUCAAAAAUGUGAUUUUUUGGUUUAUUAAAUAAAAGGGAAUAUAAUAAGGAUAAUUUAGUCAUUUCAUAUACCCUUAACGGCUAAUUGGCAGAGUUGAGGUAAAAUGAUAACGUUAUUAUAUUGUUGGGGGUUUUAAAAACUGGUUGGGAUUUUAUGAUCACUUUUUGAAAGUAUUGGAGGUUUACAGAAAUUUGCCCAAGUAAAAAUACACAUAGUAUGGAAUUUAAAUAUCAUGAAUGCAUGCAAAACCGGAAUCAAAUCCGAACAUGAAAAAUGAGGUUAUUCCAACAAAGUGACAAUCGAGAAAAAGACGAAAAGUGAAUAGUGUCACAAAAGUGAAAAUAUGAAAAUGACUCGGUCCUCAAAGGAAGUCGUCAAACCAAAGGAAAGAGUAUCGGAAACCAUUCCCGAGCACUCAAGAUGACACUAAGUGACGAGAAGCCGAACCCAAAAAAGAAAGAUUAACGAAAAGAAAAUAUAUAUAUAUAUAUAUAUCCGUAAAAAUCAAAGGAAAGAAAAGGAAGGAAAAUGACCGGGUCAUUACAAUGCUUCCAUCUUUGAUCCUCUAGGUUAGUAAAAAAAAAAAAAAAAAUCGAGUGAAAAGAAUAAGCGUACCUAGAUCAAUAAAGUUUUAAUAAAAGGUCCACUCUUUGUCUUAAUGAUCGGUACUAAAUUUAUAUGAUAGGUUGAGGGUAAGGAUGUGAUCAUUUAUUUAGUUGGCUUAGAUAGCAAUAUAUUUGAUGCCGGUCCACUCAAAAAGGAUUCUAGUAUUGUUUUGAUUUGCUUAAUCAUUUUCUUGCUGUGUAGAUGACCAUACUUGCUUGCUUGGAAAUGGUUGAAAAAUUGCAUACUUGAGGUAGUUUUCUCCCGAUGCUUGUUUGCAAUAUUGGUGCCUCUUUUGUGAGAAUGAGCUUAAUGUUUGUGGGUAUCAUUUCUGGAAACCCUCACGAGACUUCACUCGUCCACUAGGGGUAACCUAAGGGUUUAAAAGGCUUGUUGCAUGUGCUAAAUGCAAUCGUGUUCCCUACAAAAGUGGCGUUAUCCUUUUAUUGCUUUUUAUUUCAUAGUUAUAUAGUUGUUCAUUUCAUUCCUUUACUUUGUAGUUCAUUGCUAGGGACUAGCAAUAUUUAACUUUGGGGGUGUGAUAAGCGCUGAAAAGUGCCCAUUUAAACCCCUUAAGCGAGGGUAUUUUAGUCCAUUUAUCUAUUUUUAUUUACCCGUUUUAGUACUUAUUUGUGUUUUUGUCUAUUUCAGGUCAAUAAUGUUAAAACGAGCUAAAAAUGGUUUCUUAAGGCCUUUUUGGAGUCAAACUAAGUCUUAGUGAGAAUUUGGAGCAAAAGGAGGCUGAUGCUGAAAAUCUGCCAAGUGAGAUAGAUUUGAGAAAAGUCUGAUAGAUUUGAGAAAAGUGAGAUCGAUCUGAGAAAAGUGAGAUCGAUCGAAGAAAAGUGAGAUCGAUCGAACUGUUCGCGAAAGUUAUUAAAAAGUAGAUUUGAAUCUCAUUUUAAACCAACUCGGGCAGAGCUUGUAAGGGAAGAUUCUAGGGCCGAGUUCUCACAUAUUUGGGCUCUCAAAGCCUUGUAUAUAGGAGGGAUUCAACCAUUUUUGUUGAGAGAUUCAUAUUUUAGAUUGUAAUUUCUAUAGUUUCAUUAGUUUUUCUCUCUAGAAAGUUAGAGAUUAGGGUUAGAAGAGAAGAGGGAAAUGGAGAUUCAUCUCAAAAACACAUUUCUAGAUCCACAUACUCUCUCUCUUUAGAGCUUUAAAGAAGAAGAAGAAGAAGAAGAUGGAGCCAUGUUUGGGGAUUGCCCUUGAGGGUUUCAUGACCACAUCCACCUCCUCCAUGAUUGGCUAGAUCUACACUUAGGGCUUGGAUGAGCCCUAAGUCUUGUGUAAUCUAAACUCUUGUAUUUUUAUUUUUGGGGAUUUAUAUAUAUAUUGUUGUGAUUAGUGCUUAGCCUUGUGAUGGCUAAGCAUGGGUUUUCAUUGAAUGGGUUUGUCAAUUAAUUUGAUGGAUUAUUCUUAUA